UUGGAGCUGAAGCCCAAGCAGCAGUAACAAUGCUGUAGCAGUCCGGGUGAUUUAACCAAUAGGCCUCAAAGACAAAAGGUUUGUUCAAUCGUGGCCGUUUAGCCUCUGUAGAUAAGACCAGGGGGCUGUGAUCAGAACCAACAGCAGGUAACACUAAAACCUCCGCUGCAGGGAAAAUGAGUCGCCAAUCUAGAGUGCAAAGAGCCCUGUCCAACCGUUCUUUCACCAAGUCCUCACCCCGUCGGUUGUUCAUCCAGUUGUGGAGGAUGUCGUUAAAAUCGCCAACACACAGCCAAGGGAGAUUAUUAAUAUGUGAAAGCUGAGAAAGAGCUCUCCAAAGAAGUUGACGAUCAUGAGAAUUGACUGGCGCAUAAACACAUGUGAUUUUCAUCAAGAUUUGCUUGCUAUUCUCAGAACAAAAGGGCCUUGAGAGCUUGAACAGUCAAGGGAGAGCCCAGUCCCUGACAGUUCCAGCAGCAAAGCUUCAUUUAUCAGACGGUGGCUUUUUGGGGUAAGCCACCUCAACCCACUGGCCAGCAUUUUUAGCAGCCUGAACAGGAGUUUCUAGAAGGGAUGCUUCAUUCAGCUCUUCAAUUGCAGAGGUAUGAGAGUCAUAUGGAUUAUACCUUUUCAAUUUCUUAGCAGUCCCUAGUCUGGUAGAUAGUCUGGAAUUUUUCUUGUGCUUUAGAGAAGAUGACACCCUUUGUUGAUCCGUGGAAAUAAGUUGUUGUGUAUGAGUUAUAGGUUGUCCUGUUGUUACCAUGUUUUGGAGCAGAGACCCAGCAUGAGUG